rnacentral:rRNA from 1 species
GGAUGAACGCUGGCGGUAUGCUUAACACAUGCAAGUCGAACGGACUCUUCGGAGUUAGUGGCGGACGGGUGAGUAACGCGUGAGAAUCUGGCUUUGGGUUCGGGACAACCACUGGAAACGGUGGCUAAUACCGGAUGUGCCGAGAGGUAAAAGAGAAAUUGCCUGAAGAUGAGCUCGCGUCUGAUUAGCUAGUUGGUGAGGUAAAGGCUCACCAAGGCAGCGAUCAGUAGCUGGUCUGAGAGGAUGACCAGCCACACUGGGACUGAGACACGGCCCAGACUCCUACGGGAGGCAGCAGUGGGGAAUUUUCCGCAAUGGGCGAAAGCCUGACGGAGCAAUACCGCGUGAGGGAAGAAGGCUCUUGGGUUGUAAACCUCUUUUCUUAGGGAAGAACAAAAUGACGGUACCUAAGGAAUCAGCAUCGGCUAACUCCGUG